rnacentral:other from 1 species
GAAAUGCUGUGGUAUACGAAUUCACAUUACUGUGUUGACCGACUAAUUUUGUAUUUUUAGGGAAACAAAGAUCUCCUAACAGUAUGUAGGCCGUUUCACGCGGAAACAACUGAGUUGGGAACACGUUGCCCACCUGCGUAUAGCGUGCGGGUUCAAUACAAGCCGUGAAUAAACGGUACCAAUACAGCUUUUAG